rnacentral:rRNA from 1 species
GGGGGGGGGGGGGGGGGGGGGGGGGGGGGGCGGGGGGGGGGGCAGGGGCCGGGGGGGGACGCGGGUGGCGGAGGGGUGAGUGGGCCGGGGGUAAGGUGCCCCGGGGGUUGGGGUAGCCCGCGGAGGCGGGGCGUAGUAUGGAGUCCGUGCACACUGCGACGCGGGCCUGUAUGGACCGUUCUGCGGUUUGGGAUGGGCACGCGGCCCAUCAGCUUCAUUGUUGGGUGAUGGCCUACCAAGGCGAGGACGGGUAGCCGGCCUGAGAGGGCGACCGGCCACACUGGGACUGAGACACGGCCCAGACUCCUACGGGAGGCAGCAGUGGGGAAUAUUGCACAAUGGGCGGAAGCCUGAUGCAGCGACGCCGCGUGAGGGAUGACGGCCUUCGGGUUGUAAACCUCUUUCAGCAGGGACGAAGCGUAAGUGACGGUACCUGCAGAAGAAGCGCCGGCCAACUACGUG